rnacentral:rRNA from 1 species
UCCAGACUCCUACGGGAGGCAGCAGUGAGGAAUAUUGGUCAAUGGCCGAGAGGCUGAACCAGCCAAGUCGCGUGAGGGAUGACGGCCCUACGGGUUGUAAACCUCUUUUGUCGGGGAGCAAAGAGAGUCACGUGUGGCUCAUUGAGAGUACCCGAAGAAAAAGCAUCGGCUAACUCCGUGCCAGCAGCCGCGGUAAUACGGAGGAUGCGAGCGUUAUCCGGAUUUAUUGGGUUUAAAGGGUGCGCAGGCGGAAGAUCAAGUCAGCGGUAAAAUUGAGAGGCUCAACCUCUUCGAGCCGUUGAAACUGGUUUUCUUGAGUGAGCGAGAAGUAUGCGGAAUGCGUGGUGUAGCGGUGAAAUGCUUAGAGAUCAUACAGAACACCGAUUGCGAAGGCAGCUUACCAAUCUAUAUCUGACGUUGAGGCACGAAAGCGUGGGGAGCAAACAGGAUUAGAUACCCUCGUAGA